UUUAAAGUGCUUGUCAAAAAAUCAGGAAUAACCUGAUUUUCGCUUCCAAGAAACCAUCGAUUUCUUCAAAUUGGUCAAAUCCUGAGAAAAUAUAGCCCCUCAUGGACUACGAUUAGACUACAACCCAAUGUAGCCGGGAGGAACCGGUGUGACAACUAAUGGCGGAUCCUCAUUUUUCAAAUUGCACCUUUUUCGAUUCAAGGACCGACCGAUACUUGGCCGGGCAGCGCAGAACAGGUUUUAUUAAUUUUUGGUAAUGUUUUGUCGAUUUAUCAUUUUCCAGGUUUUUUUUUGAUGCCGGACAACUAAACGGCACCCAAAUGAAGCGAAAGGAUUGCAGCACGCAGAAGGAUUAGACGAUCCUUUUACGACCCCUGUUUGCUGCAGGAGGUCAUCAGUGUCACUACCGGUCACUUUUUCGCUCGAACCGUCAGGCUCAAAGGCUAAAGAAGGGAAAGGGUUCGCCUUCACUCAUUAAUUGUACCAACAACCGAAAAAUGAGAAUUUUCCCAUCGAACAGGAAUUGAAGGGCCAUUGUUGGGAGGACUCUAGUGGAUUUUUCAUCGGUCGGGGUGACAUGACGAAGGAGAACCCAUUUUUUCCCGUUACCCGUGGCCCCGCUCAGUUGAGAAACGUAUACGACAUGUUUCGAAGUGCUACAGUUUGUGUCCCAUGUGUAGGUAAUCAAAUAUUCAGAUUGCGGAAAUCGUGUGAAUAUGAAAGUUCCCUUAUUCCUUCGCCAACCACCGAAUGCUGACACUGAUUGGAACAUAGGCUGUUCUGUGGUCAACGGAAACAUAUUGCGUCAAACGCAGGCAAAUUGAUUUCUAAAUCUAGGCUUAUCGAUUAGCGUCUGACUCAAAUGGCACGGCAGAAAGUUGGUGUCUUCGACAAAGUUUAAGAAAUGCUCAUAAUGAAGAAUUUUGUUGAACAACUUGAAC